UAAAAGUUUUAUCCUUGCUUACGCUUUCAGUGUUAAUUAAAGGCACAUGUAAGAGUUGUCGUGCCAAUAUUUCGGGCGGUCUAAAUGAAGCUCGAGUCUUAAGUUUUUAGAGAAGUUUAGUUAAAAAUUAAUUCUCAGUGCCAAGUAUUGUUUAAUCAGCGAUAGCUGUAAAUAGUUAUAUUAAUUAAAUGACUGGAUAAAAAUUGUGCCAGCAUCCGCGGUUAUACUGAAAGUAAAACUGAAAGUAAAUAGGUUAAAGAUAAUUAAAUUUAUGAACUGUGAUAAGCCAAUUAUGAGGUUGAUAAAAGGUAAAAUUAAGUUUUCAAAAAAGCAGCUUUGGCUUUAAAAGUUCGGAAUUGAGGUUGUAAAAUCUAGAGUUUAAAUUAGGAUUAGAUACCCUAUUAUAUCUUGUAUGAAAUAUAAAACACCUGGGUAGUAACUAGUUAUAAACUUGAAACUCAAAGGAUUUGGCGGUAACUUAGUCUUUCUAGGGGGACCUGUUGUUUAAACGAUAAUCCACGAAAAAUCUUACUUUUAUUUGUAUUUUCGCAGUUUGUAUACCGUCAUUAUUAGGUAAUUUAUUAAAAAAUUAAAUUACUGAAAUAAAAUUUCAUUUAGUAUAUUAGAUCAAGGUGCAGCUUAUAUAAAAGGUUCUAAUGGGUCACAAUAAAAAUAAUUAAUACGAAUAACUUUAAGAAAUUAAUCUGUGAAGGUGGACUUAGAAGUAAUAAAAUUAUAAUAAAGUUUUAUGAGUAAAGCUCUAUGUUAUGUACACAUCGCCCGUCGCUCUCGCUAAAGAAAGUGAGAUAAGUCGUAACAAAGUAGGUGUACUGGAAAGUGUACCUAGAAAUAA
rnacentral:ncRNA from 1 species